UACGUAGGGUGCGAGCGUUGUCCGGAAUUAUUGGGCGUAAAGAGCUCGUAGGCGGUGUGUCGCGUCGGCCGUGAAAACCUGGGGCUUAACUCUGGGCGUGCGGUCGAUACGGGCAUCACUAGAGUUCGGCAGGGGAGACUGGAAUUCCUGGUGUAGCGGUGAAAUGCGCAGAUAUCAGGAGGAACACCGGUGGCGAAGGCGGGUCUCUGGGCCGAUACUGACGCUGAGGAGCGAAAGCAUGGGUAGCGAACAGG
rnacentral:rRNA from 1 species